rnacentral:rRNA from 1 species
GAUGAACGCUGGCGGCGUGCCUAAUACAUGCAAGUCGAGCGAACAGACGAGGAGCUUGCUCCUCUGACGUUAGCGGCGGACGGGUGAGUAACACGUGGAUAACCUACCUAUAAGACUGGGAUAACUUCGGGAAACCGGAGCUAAUACCGGAUAAUAUAUUGAACCGCAUGGUUCAAUAGUGAAAGACGGUUUUGCUGUCACUUAUAGAUGGAUCCGCGCCGCAUUAGCUAGUUGGUAAGGUAACGGCUUACCAAGGCAACGAUGCGUAGCCGACCUGAGAGGGUGAUCGGCCACACUGGAACUGAGACACGGUCCAGACUACUACGGGAGGCAGCAGUAGGGAAUCUUCCGCAAUGGGCGAAAGCCUGACGGAGCAACGCCGCGUGAGUGAUGAAGGUCUUCGGAUCGUAAAACUCUGUUAUUAGGGAAGAACAAAUGUGUAAGUACCUAUGCACGUCUUGACGGUACCUAAUCAGAAAGCCACGGCUAACUACGUG